AAUUCGUGAAGCGGUUCUACAGCUUUGGAAAGUAAUUUCCAAAGUCAGCAUACUUGACAUCGACUGGAAAAUGCAACAGCUUUGUGACGUAUUUUGUUAUUCAACGAUGACGCACAGAAUGUCGGUUUGGCAGAUUUCAAA